rnacentral:rRNA from 1 species
GACGGAGGGUGCAAGCGUUGUUCGGAUUGACUGGGCGUAAAGGGCGUGUAGGCGGUCGGCCAAGUCUGAUGUGAAAGCCCGAGGCUCAGCCUCGGAAGUGCGUCGGAAACUAGUCGGCUGGAGCGCGAUAGAGGAGGGUGGAAUUCCUGGUGUAGCGGUGAAAUGCGUAGAUAUCAGGAGGAACACCGGCGGCGAAGGCGGCCCUCUGGAUCGUUGCUGACGCUGAUACGCGAAAGCGUGGGGAGCCAACAGG